ACAGAUUGGACUGCUGUAGCAUUAGUGGCUCCAAGAAAGACAACGGCAGAAUACGUGGCACCAAGUAGAUUGAUCAAAUCUUCUUGUUUCUUUCUAGCAGAAUAAAAGGAACAGAUUCAUCAUGUGAGCGAACACUUUUAAGGUAAUAGCAGCGGCUCAAACUUCACAAAAAGAAAAUGAUCUUUCGUAUGCAAUAGUUUUUUCUUACAUUUUGUCUCCUUUGCUCCAGAAAAUGAAGCCAAACAUAAGACCAAUGACAAUCGUCAUGACAAAACGAAUGGCAUUAUACUGGGAGUUCCUCCAGUAGGACCAGUUCUGUUUCCAGAAGCAAGCACGGCAUUGAGUUUGGAAGCCCUGGCAGUAUUGGGUGGGG
rnacentral:lncRNA from 1 species